rnacentral:rRNA from 1 species
GAUCCUGGCUCAGGAUGAACGCUGGCGGCGUGCUUAACACAUGCAAGUCGAGCGAAGCGCUUAAGUUUGAUUCUUUGGAUGAAGACUUUUGUGACUGAGCGGGCGGACGGGUGAAGGUAACGCGUGGGUAACCUGCCUCAUACAGGGGGAUAACAGUUAGAAAUGACUGCUAAUACCGCAUAAGACCACGGUACCGCAUGGUACAGUGGUAAAAACUCCGGUGGUAUGAGAUGGACCCGCGU